rnacentral:tRNA from 1 species
GCUCGGAUGGCGGAAUUGGUAGACGCGCAUGAUUCAGGAUCAUGUAGGGCGACCUGUGGGAGUUCGAGUCUCCCUCCGAGCACCA